GCCUUGUUGGCGCAAUCGGUAGCGCGUGUGACUCUUAAUCACAAGGUU
rnacentral:tRNA from 1 species